UACGUAGGGGGCAAGCGUUGUCCGGAUUUAUUGGGCGUAAAGAGCGUGUAGGCGGCCAGGUAGGUCAGCUGUGAAAACUCGAGGCUCAACCUCGAGACGUCGGUUGAAACCACCUGGCUAGAGUCCGGAAGAGGAGAGUGGAAUUCCUGGUGUAGCGGUGAAAUGCGCAGAUAUCAGGAAGAACACCCGUGGCGAAGGCGGCUCACUGGCCCGAUACUGACGCUGAGGCACGAAAGCGUGGGGAGCAAACAGG
rnacentral:rRNA from 1 species